rnacentral:rRNA from 1 species
AGUGAACGCUGGCGGUAGGCCUAACACAUGCAAGUCGAACGGCAGCACAGUAAGAGCUUGCUCUUACGGGUGGCGAGUGGCGGACGGGUGAGGAAUACAUCGGAAUCUACUUUUUCGUGGGGGAUAACGUAGGGAAACUUACGCUAAUACCGCAUACGACCUACGGGUGAAAGCAGGGGAUCUUCGGACCUUGCGCGAUUGAAUGAGCCGAUGUCGGAUUAGCUAGUUGGCGGGGUAAAGGCCCACCAAGGCGACAAUCCGUAGCUGGUCUGAGAGGAUGAUCAGCCAAACUGGAACUGAGACACGGUCCAGACUCCUACGGGAGGCAGCAGUGGGGAAUAUUGGACAAUGGGCGUAAGCCUGAUCCAGCCAUACCGCGUGGGUGAAGAAGGCCUUCGGGUUGUAAAGCCCUUUUGUUGGGAAAGAAAAGCAGCAGGUUAAUACCCCGCUGUUCUGACGGUACCCAAAGAAUAAGCACCGGCUAACUUCGUG